rnacentral:rRNA from 1 species
ACUGGAGCUUGCUCCUGGAUUCAGCGGCGGACGGGUGAGUAAUGCCUAGGAAUCUGCCUGGUAGUGGGGGAUAACGUCCGGAAACGGGCGCUAAUACCGCAUACGUCCUGAGGGAGAAAGUGGGGGAUCUUCGGACCUCACGCUAUCAGAUGAGCCUAGGUCGGAUUAGCUAGUUGGUGGGGUAACGGCCUACCAAGGCGACGAUCCGUAACUGGUCUGAGAGGAUGAUCAGUCACACUGGAACUGAGACACGGUCCAGACUCCUACGGGAGGCAGCAGUGGGGAAUAUUGGACAAUGGGCGAAAGCCUGAUCCAGCCAUGCCGCGUGUGUGAAGAAGGUCUUCGGAUUGUAAAGCACUUUAAGUUGGGAGGAAGGGCAGUAAGUUAAUACCUUGCUGUUUUGACGUUACCAACAGAAUAAGCACCGGCUAACUUCGUGCCAGCAGCCGCGGUAAUACGAAGGGUGCAAGCGUUAAUCGGAAUUACUGGGCGUAAAGCGCGCGUAGGUGGUUCAGCAAGUUGGAUGUGAAAUCCCCGGGCUCAACCUGGGAACUGCAUCCAAAACUACUGAGCUAGAGUACGGUAGAGGGUGGUGGAAUUUCCUGUGUAGCGGUGAAAUGCGUAGAUAUAGGAAGGAACACCAGUGGCGAAGGCGACCACCUGGACUGAUACUGACACUGAGGUGCGAAAGCGUGGGGAGCAAACAGGAUUAGAUACCCUGGUAGUCCACGCCGUAAACGAUGUCGACUAGCCGUUGGGAUCCUUGAGAUCUUAGUGGCGCAGCUAACGCGAUAAGUCGACCGCCUGGGGAGUACGGCCGCAAGGUUAAAACUCAAAUGAAUUGACGGGGGCCCGCACAAGCGGUGGAACAUGUGGUUUAAUUCGAAGCAACGCGAAGAACCUUACCUGGCCUUGACAUGCUGAAAACUUUCCAGAGAUGGAUUGGUGCCUUCGGGAAUUCAGACCAGGUGCUGCAUGGCUG